AAAGACUUUAUGUAUACAAAAUUCGUCAUUUUGAAAUAACGAUCGCUUUACAAUAAUUAACGUAGUUCAUUGAAAACUGUUUUGUAACCAACAUUAGCGGUGGAAACUUUCCUAUUCUUGUUAGCAAGUCAGAGGUGAAAAUGGCUGUGAUAUUAUCAAUGGUUGUGAUCCUACUGGUGUCAGUUUCAACUGUCAAAUCAGAAUGCGAAGUUACUCCAGGAAGAAUUGUUCAAAGCGGCGAUGUAUUUGAAUUUAAACACGAGCCAUGUGUUGUUUACAAGUGUAACGGACAGCAAUAUAAAGUACAUGAAGCCAAAUGUGAACAUGACGGUAAAUGUAUUGAACUGCGUGGUUUGAACGUCAAUGACAAGUGUGAAGUAUUUGAAUGUAAAGAAAGGGUUACACCCAACGGUAAAAUCAUUGGAAUGGUUAAAACUGAAGUCAGGUGUAAAGUUGGCAAUAAAUGCUAUUCUGAUGGUGAUGAAUUCUUCAAAAACCCUGCAGACAAAACCAAAUGUGAAUGUAAGGUACCAGAAGGAGAAUUCAAGUUUGAUGUUGUCUGUCCUUGAAAAUCAAUACAUAGAGGAUAUUUGUCGUUUUAGAGUUAAUAACAUAUUUUAUUUCAUCAAGAAGCAAGAAAACUUAUAUUUUCACCAAUGGGUAGCAUGAGUGAAAAUAUAAACGUUUUCUUGCUUAGAGAUGAAAUAAAAUAUGUUAUUCACGACAAAACGACAAAUGUUCUAUUUAUUUUAUGAUUUUACAAUCAUUUUAGGUAAAAACAACUAGCCAGUGGAAUAACACUUUUAUUUCACUGAUAAAACCGGUAUUCCACUACUGAUCAUAAAAUAAAUGAAUUUAUUUAAUGUAAAACAAAAUAUAAUCUUUUUAGUUUCACUAUUUCCUACAAUAUUCUGUACCACUGUAAAACAAAUAAUUAUUAUGAAUAUGAAUUUAAUGCAUAACUGGAUGUAGCACACUUUUCUUUAAGAUACUAAAAUAAAAGUAGACAAUAGUUGCCUAGUUAAUCUGUGUAAUUAAACUUAACAAGGAAAUAAUUCUCUGGCAGUAGUCUGCUUGUUCUGUUAAAGUUAAACAACAAUCCAUAUCUAAAUGAGUAUGAUGCGACCUGUCCAAAAUAGCAUUUCCCAUAUUUAUAUUUGAUAAAACAAGGUGUAAUAAGUAUUCUUUAGGUAGUAAUUUAGACAAACAAUUUUUAAAAAUGGGGGUUAUAUAGCAUCUUGGCCACCAAGCUCAUUGAUAGAAAAUUAAAGAUGGCCAGUGAAUGGUAUGUGAUUAAUCAAGUAAUUAAAGGUGACACUGUAAAAUCAAUAGAAACUUAUGUGAAGGUUAAGUGAAUUUUAGAGGGAUAUGCAUUUUCAUAAGACUACUUUAUAUUUUUUACCAAUUCUCUAUUUGUUGUUUGUCUUAAAUGUGUUGGGCCUUUACUUUCCCGACACAUUUAUGACCUCCGCCUUCUUCAGGUCGCAUUACUUUCAUGACAUCUUAAUUGUUUAACAAAACAGUAAAUACUAUAAAUGAACUUAUUAUAAUGUAAAUAUGUACGUGUAUGUAUAUUUAGAAACAAAAUAUAUUAUACACAAUAUAUAUCUUCAGAUAUCAAGAAAGUAAUAAAACAAAAGAAAAAUGAAUAGUGAUAAUAAUUUUUAGGCAUUUAAAUUCAGUAUUUAUGUAGACAUAAAAUAAAUUUGAUAAAUGUUUAAUGUCUUACUUUUCUAUAUCAACCGAGCUGAUUAAGAGAAAUAACGUGUUGAUUUGGGUUGA